rnacentral:tmRNA from 1 species
GGGGGCGAUUUGGGUUCGACUUAAUGUAUGGUGGCAAUGAGGAGCAUGCCGAGGUUGGUCAGUUGGCCUCGUUAAAAGCUGACCAAAAACUAAGUGCAGAAAAACUACGCACAAAGGUCAUGGAAGUCGUUCCUAUUAACACAGGAAUGGUUUCUGUGAUGCCGUUAGCCGCCUAAAAGCGCGGCUACCGUCACCUGGCCCUGCCUGCAGGGCCGGAUGUGACGCCAUUAGCAGGCUAGUCCUGGAUCCUUGGCUUUUGGGGUGUAGGAUCAAAUCUUAAAAAGCUGCGCCUUCUGACGAUCCCUCCUGUGGGAGCCCGGAAGGCUAAGACCAAAACGCAGGAUAAGCAUGUAGCUUGCCUCUUGCUGUGUACUUAAGGACGAGGGUUCGAUUCCCUCCGCCUCCACCA